GAGACUUAGUUUCAGGUAUCAUUCCUAUAGUUGAUUACAAGAGAAGUUUCUCGACUAUAGAGAGUACCAAAGCCAUGAGGAGGAGAUGCAAUGUUCUCUCCAGAGCAUGUAGCUGUUCCUGAGCGUGUUAGGUUAAGACUACCCACUGCCACUGAUUGUUCUUCUCUCUCUUAGGGUACUUAGAAGGACAGAACACAAUCUGUGU